rnacentral:rRNA from 1 species
GACAGAGGGUGCAACCGUUGUUCGGAAUCACUGGGCGUAAAGGGAGCGUAGGCGGGUUUCUAAGUCAGGUGUUUAAUCCCGGGGCCCAACCCCGGACAGGCACUUGAAACUGGGAAUCUUGAAUAGUGGAGAGGUCAGUGGAAUUGGGGGUGUAGCGGUGGAAUGCGUAGAGAUCCCCAAGAACACCAGUUGCGAAGGCGGCUGACUGGACACAUAUUGACGCUGAGGCUCGAAAGCAUGGGGAGCAAACAGG